rnacentral:rRNA from 1 species
UACGUAGGGUGCAAGCGUUGUUCGGAAUUACUGGGCGUAAAGGGCUCGUAGGCGGCCAACUAAGUCAGACGUGAAAUCCCUCGGCUUAACCGGGGAACUGCGUCUGAUACUGGAUGGCUCGAGUUUGGGGAGAGGGAUGCGGAAUUCCAGGUGUAGCGGUGAAAUGCGUAGAUAUCUGGAGGAACACCGGUGGCGAAGGCGGCAUCCUGGACCAACACUGACGCUGAUGAGCGAAAGCCAGGGGAGCAAACGGG